GCAGGUCAGAGUGAGAGCCCUGAGUCUAGAAGCACAGGAUAUUUAUUGUAGUUGCAGUAAGCUUGGGGAAUUCCAUAUGGGUCAGCAAGUUAAUAUAUUAAAACCUGAAUUUCUGGUGUAAUCUGCAGGAGCUGAACAUGGAGACAAAACCACCUGACAAACAGGAUAGCUAAGUUAUCAGUUCUCUGAAGGAUGUCUUCAGUUAUCUACAUGUACCUUGACCCUGGUUUUGUAGCCUGAUUGACUGUAGUCUAGCUAGAGGAGGGGUGUUGCCAUAGGAUGCUUACUCAUGAAGACUCUUGUGAUUUUCCUCACGAAAUUGGAGCUUAGCCCCUGGUCUUGCACAAAAUGGAGGCUACAUAGGAGGCCUAAUAAUGGAGCUUCCGAUGGAAUCAGAAGGAUCGUUGCAAGCUGUUCCUCUCACCUCCAGGAACAGAAAACCAUGUGACAAACAGGAUAGCUAAGUUAUCUCUUCUCUGAAGGAUGUCUUCAGUUACCUAUAUGCACCUUGACCCAGGUCUCCCUGUUUCUAAGUGAAGUCACCAGUGCACAAACUGAGAUGCUUUCCUCUGAUGGGGGUGCAAUGCUAAGGACAGAAUAAAAAGGUUAAUUGCGUUGUAUACUUUUGUGUCUGGGAUUUGUAACAAACAUCCUUGUUUUUAGAUUGACAUCAAUGGACCCUACAAUGCUGGGAAUUUACAGAGGAUUUUCUUUAUAUAUUCAACUGCAUUAUAUUAGCUGACUAUAUGUGAAGUAAUUACUCAAGACCAGAGAAAGAAGCAAUUGAAAUAUGAAAUUGGAAUGCUGGUUUAUUGUGCCAAGAAAAGCUCCUUUCUCAACCUGUCACACUAAAGAAAAGAAACAAACAAAGAAACAAACAAACAACAAAUGAAAUUUUCAUAUCUUCUUACCCUUUACACGGGGGUGUCUUGUCUCCAUACUGGUUGAAAAUCACUCCCGUUUCUAUGCUGGCUGCCAGUCAGGAAAGCACGAGGGGCAGUAAGGAUGGAGAAGAGCUCCAUGUAGAAUUUGUAUGGAACUCUCAGUAGACAAAGAACACAGAAUUACUGAAAAGGAAUGGGGCGUGCAAUAGCCCUCAAGCUGCAGGCAUCCUGGAGCUGCGCGGCUCUGCCCUGAGCUGCUGACAGUGAGUCUGUUCCAAGCUCCAGCGAGGGAGGCAUCUGCCCAUUUGGGGCUUCUCCUGUCCAAGGUAAAGAGCACCUGUGAGUCUAACCACCAGGCUCUGACGGGGGUCUUGUCUUUGUGGGGCUAAAAAGAGCCCCAACAAUCUGACCAAGGUAAUAGGAAGUUAAAGAAGUAAGAAGGACAGUGUAAGUCGGUAAGAAAGUUAGCAUAAGUGUGUAAGAAAGUGCAGAGGAAGAGAAACGAAGAAAGGCUAGAGGUCUGCAAAGAAGUGAGCUAAGACUGUAAGGGAGAGCAAAGCUUCAGCAAAUUCAGGAGAGAUGGAUGACAGUGGCAAAUAGAGAGGUUAACAGUAAGGAGAAGUGAAAAUAGAGAUGGAGAUUAGAGAGGUCUGAGAUGAGAAAGAUAACCUGAAUGAGAAAUAUUUAGAGUAGGAACCACUAAGUAAGAGACAGACAAUAGAAGAGUUGAGGAAACACGAGGCUGACAAAGUCAGAGACCAGAGUCAGAAUCAGAGAUGUGCCGUGAGACAAAAGGAUAAACCAGGGUAGAGGUGAACUAUGAGAGAUGAGUGACAGUAUAUGGACGUGAUAAUUAGAUAACAUCCAAAGGAAGCAAAGACAAGGAGGAGAAACAAAUAUAUAUAUAUGGAGAGAGAGAGAGGAAGCUGUGAUCAAAUAGACGCAUCAGUGGACGCCCUUCGGGGUUAAAGUUCAAAUGUCUGCCCUUGCUCAUGGUAUCUGUGAUGAAAAGAAGAACGGGCUACAGUAUUCCUACUGUAAGACUUGCACAUCUCUGGAGUCCCGUGGAGCUAUUAUGUGGAUCUAUGAAUGAGUUGGUACCUAGGUGCUGCUAUAUAAACUCAGGUUCUCUCGCUUGUGCAGAUAAGUUGCUAAGUAGUAGAGACUCCAGUUUCUGGCCUCAGAGAAACACAGAGGCAGGUCAGUGACAGUAGCAAAGUAACUUAGACAUAGGAGGAAGAUAAAAAUGGAGCUGAGACGAAGGGAACAGACAACCAUGGAACAUGAGAACCAUCACAUGUGAGAAAGCACAGCCUCAGAACACAGUAAGGCACUGGACAGAUGAACUACUUCAUUCACCCAGAAAUCAGCAGGAAUAUUCAGCUUUGGUUUUAAAUGUUUUCAUGAUCCCCCAAGGAGCUGGAGUUUGGAAUUGAAAUGCUAAGACAAAAACUGGGGCUUAUAGAUGGUAAACUUCUAGUGAAAUGAGAAAACAAGAAAGUUU
rnacentral:lncRNA from 1 species